rnacentral:lncRNA from 1 species
AUUCACACUUUUUUGCAAAUUUUAAAAAUAAAUUAAAUUUUUAUAUAAAAAGUAUUCAUUUUUGAAUUGAUUAAAAGAAUUUGUUUCCAAGUGGUUAUAGCUGUUGCGAUGUCUAUCAACUGCAGUGGAAUUAGGACUGAGUGUGAUAUGAUUAGAAGUUGGUGUGACUGCUGUAUUUUGUAUGUAUGUAAUGCAAGUUUGCAAUCUCAAUACUAUUGAUAGCAUUUUUCCCCAAAUGGUUGAUGUUAAAAUUCUUCCAUUGUCUAAUCUGCAUGCCAGAAUGGAAAAGACAAAAAGCAUGAAAUGCUUCAGCUUUCUAUUUUGGAGGAUCUGUGUUCAAGUCUCAGGUUCCAUCCCUUUGAGAUAUUCAUGGGAUCCAGGUCUAGCCUGUCAAUCUCCAUCAUCCAUAGUUUGGCUGACCUCUGUAAGGGUGGGCAGCCUAUGGAAGGAUUUGUUUUGCCCUGCCACUUAAUACUCUGAGUAGGAAAGUAGUGUCGUCUGUUG